rnacentral:rRNA from 1 species
UACGGCAGGCAGCAGUGAGGAAUAUUGGACAAUGGACGAAAGUCUGCUCCAGCCAUGCCGCGUGCAGGAUGACGGCCCUAUGGGUUGUAAACUGCUUUUAUACAGGAAGAAACACUCCCACGUGUGGGGGCUUGACGGUACUGUACGAAUAAGGAUCGGCUAACUCCGUCCCAGCAGCCGCGGUAAUACGGAGGAUCCAAGCGUUAUCCGGAAUUAUUGGGUUUAAAGGGUCCGCAGGCGGUCUAUUAAGUCAGAGGUGAAAUCUUGCAGCUCAACUGUAAAAUUGCCUUUGAUACUGGUAGACUUGAGUCAUUGUGAAGGGGUUAGAAUGUGUGGUGUAGCGGUGAAAUGCAUAGAUAUCACACAGAAUACCAAUUGCGAAGGCAGAUCACUAACAAUGUACUGACGCUCAUGGACGAAAGCGUGGGGAGCGAACAGGAUUAGAUACCCUGG